ACGGAAGGUGCAAGCGUUAUCCGGAAUCACUGGGUUUAAAGGGUGCGUAGGCGGUUGCGUAAGUCAGAAGUGAAAGCUCACAGCUUAACUGUGGAAUUGCUUUUGAUACUGCGCGACUAGAAUUAGGUUGAGGUUGGCGGAAUGUGACAUGUAGCGGUGAAAUGCAUAGAUAUGUCAUAGAACACCAAUUGCGAAGGCAGCUGACUGGACCUAUAUUGACGCUGAGGCACGAAAGCGUGGGGAGCGAACAGG
rnacentral:rRNA from 1 species